rnacentral:rRNA from 1 species
AGCGAACGCUGGCGGCAGGCCUAACACAUGCAAGUCGAGCGCCCCGCAAGGGGAGCGGCAGACGGGAGAGUAACACGUGGGAACGUACCCUUUGGUUCGGAACAACCCAGGGAAACUUGGGCUAAUACCGGAUAAGCCCUUACGGGGAAAGAUUCAUCGCCGAAGGAUCGGCCCGCGUCUGAUUAGCUAGUUGGUGGGGUAACGGCCCACCAAGGCGACGAUCAGUAGCUGGUCUGAGAGGAUGAUCAGCCUCACUGGGACUGAGACACGGCCCAGACUCCUACGGGAGGCAGCAGUGGGGAAUAUUGGACAAUGGGCGCAAGCCUGAUCCAGCCAUGCCGCGUGGGUGAUGAAGGCCCUAGGGUUGUAAAGCCCUUUCGGCGGGGAAGAUAAUGACGGUACCCGCAGAAGAAGCCCCGGCUAACUUCGUGCCAGCCGCCGCGGUAA